GGCUUUUUAAGACACCACAAAGACUUCGGCUUUUGCUCUGAAAGGAUCUGGAGCCAAGGGCUGAUAUAUGCUUUGAAAAUAUUACUCUGGCUCCUAAUAAUGAAGGGGCAAUAGCUGAUGCAAGGAGACCGUUAAAAGGCUACUGAAAUAUAAUCCUGAUAAGAGAAGGUGGGUUGAACCAGAGUAGAAGUGGUCAAGUCCUGAAUUUAUUUUGGAGGUACAGUCAACAGGAUUUGCAAAUGGAUUGGAUAUAGAAGUCAAGGGAUUUGUACAGCCCUGUAGGAGACACCUCCAGAGAAAGUAACAGCUCUCAAUUGAUUAGCUGAGGAAGACACCAGACAAAUGAGUUACACUGUUUUGGACUCCCCAACACAAUCCAGCCACCGGCUGAAUGCCACCAAAUUACCUUCUAGUUAAAGGUUUAUGGAGCAAACGAAUCACCUAUUCAAUAUCUGCUUGAAUUUCUGACUCAAAAUACAUCAGGUAUGUACUGUGUGACUUAAAUAUUGAGUUUAUUUUUAUCAAAUACCUGUCAAGAAAGAAAGUCAAUUCUGAAACAGCAGAAGCUCAAAGUUCUAC
rnacentral:lncRNA from 1 species